UCCUGUUCAUGAUAUGGACUACCAGUGCACUAUGAUACAGUCUCUAAGAGUCGAGUUGUUUGGGAAUGCAGCUCAAAGAGGGUGGUAAAUUCCAUCUAAGGCUAAAUAUUGAUGAGAGACCGAUAGCAAACAAGUACCGUGAGGGAAAGAUGAAAAGAACUUUGGAAAGAGAGUUAACAGUGCGUGAAAUUGUUAAAAGGGAAACAAUUGAAGUUAGACUUGUUAUCACUAGUUCAUCCAAACAUGGAGAAUUCUARUGGUUAACAGACCAACAUCAGUUUUUGAGUGUUGGAGAAGGGUUUAAGGAAAUGUAGCAGUCUCUGACUGUGUUAUAGUCCUUGAGCUUUGAUAUGAUGCUUAAGACUGAGGAUUUGCAGUAAGACAAAUUUAUAAUUUGGUGGCGCAGAUUAUUGUUCUUCUUACUGAGGAUGUUGGUACAAUAGCUUUAAAUGACCCGUCUUGAAACACGGACCAAGGAGUCUAACAUGCUUGCAAGUAUUUGGGUGAUUGAAACCCUUAUGCAGAAUGAAAGUGAAUGUAAAUGGGAUCUUUGAUUGGAGCACCAUUGACCAGUCCAGAUAUAUUUAUAUGAUGGUACUGAGUAAGAGCAAGUAUGUUGGGACCCGAAAGAUGGUGAACUAUGCCUGAAUAAGGUGAAGCCAGAGGAAACUCUGGUGGAGGCUUGUAGCGGUUCUGACGUGCAAAUCGAUYGUCAAAUUUGGGUAUAGGGGCGAAAGAC
rnacentral:rRNA from 1 species